CCUACGGGUGGCAGCAGUGGGGAAUCUUCCACAAUGGGCGAAAGCCUGAUGGAGCAACGCCGCGUGGGUGAAGAAGGUCUUCGGAUCGUAAAACUCUGUUGUUAGAGAAGAAAGUGCGUGAGAGUAACUGUUCACGUUUCGACGGUAUCUAACCAGAAAGCCACGGCUAACUACGUGCCAGCAGCCGCGGUAAUACGUAGGUGGCAAGCGUUAUCCGGUGUUAUUGGGCGUAAAGGGAACGCAGGCGGUCUUUUAAGUCUGAUGUGAAAGCCUUCGGCUUAACCGGAGUAGUGCAUUGGAAACUGGGAGACUUGAGUGCAGAAGAGGAGAGUGGAACUCCAGGUGUAGCGGUGAAAUGCGUAGAUAUAUGGAAGAACACCAGUGGCGAAGGCGGCUUUCUGGUCUGUAACUGACGCUGAGGUUCGAAAGCGUGGGUAGCAAACAGGAUUAGAUACCCCUGUAGUC
rnacentral:rRNA from 1 species